rnacentral:rRNA from 1 species
CUUGAGCAACCCAUAAGAGGUCUAGCCUGCCCAGUGACUCUGUUCAACGGCCGCGGUAUCCUAACCGUGCGAAGGUAGCGUAAUCACUUGUUCUUUAAAUGAGGACUUGUAUGAAUGGCAUCACGAGGGUUAUACUGUCUCCUUUCUCUAAUCAGUGAAACUAAUCUCCCCGUGAAGAAGCGGGGAUAACUAUAUAAGACGAGAAGACCCUAUGGAGCUUUAAACUAAAUGGCAACUGCAUUAAUAACAUUAAAAUUUAAGAAGAUUAACUUUUACCCAAGCACUAUGAUCAUGAGUUUUAGGUUGGGGUGACCACGGAGUAAAAACUAACCUCCGUAAUGAACAGGGAACUUCCCUAAACCAAGGGCCACAACCCGAAGAAUCAUUAUACUGACACCAAUUGACCCAAAAAUUUGACCAAUGAAC